UACGUAGGGGGCAAGCGUUGUCCGGAAUCAUUGGGCGUAAAGAGCGUGUAGGCGGCCAGAAAAGUCCGCUGUGAAAACUCGAGGCUCAACUUCGAGCUGUCGGUGGAAACUUUCUGGCUAGAGUCCGGAAGAGGAGAAUGGAAUUCCUGGUGUAGCGGUGAAAUGCGCAGAUAUCAGGAAGAACACCCGUGGCGAAGGCGGUUCUCUGGGACGGUACUGACGCUGAGACGCGAAAGCGUGGGGAUCGAACAGG
rnacentral:rRNA from 1 species